UGAUGCCCUCAUGCUGAAAGCCUGAUGAGGACCAGGACCUGGACCUGGACUGUCAUCCCAACACUUUUCAUCGUUUGCUGAUCCUCUGCAUUUUCCUCACUGCUCUCAAACUCUGCAGCCACAUCUUGAUCCUGGUGAGAGCCUCAACUUCUCCCUACCACCCAACCCUCUCCUUGACCAGUCAGCUCCAUCCCAGGGGAAGCCUGCCUUGGUUCCUAAUCUGAUCACCAAGGUCUAAGUGAGUGUGCAUCUGCUGGGCUUAAAGCCUAAGGCUUUGAGACUUUUGAUCUUACACUUGAACUUAGCAUGCAGAGGGAAUGUCUGUUAUGAGCCUGUUAUGAUUAAGUGUGUUUGCAAUGCUUAGAAUUAAUCUAGAAUUGUUUGCUGUGAAUUGAUUACGUCUAUUACAGUGCCUAGCAUUAAGGAUUCUCGUUUUCUUGAUUUAGAACCUAUAGAGUGAAAUUGUAUUGAGUGAUUUGAGUGAAUAAAGCAUUGAAAAGAGCAGAAGCACAUGGACAUUC
rnacentral:lncRNA from 1 species